rnacentral:snRNA from 1 species
AGCUUUGUACAGUGGCAGGACUGUAGCCAGUGAGGUUAUCUGAGGCACGAUUAUUGCUAAUUGAAAACUUUUCCCAACACCCUGCACGACAACUUGAAAUUGGCAUUGGCAAAUUUUUUUGGCAUUGGCAUUGGCAA